rnacentral:rRNA from 1 species
AGCCAGACUCCUACGGGAGGCAGCAGUGGGGAAUAUUGCACAAUGGGGGAAACCCUGAUGCAGCGACGCCGCGUGAGCGAUGAAGUAUUUCGGUAUGUAAAGCUCUAUCAGCAGGGAAGAAGAUGACGGUACCUGACUAAGAAGCCCCGGCUAACUACGUGCCAGCAGCCGCGGUAAUACGUAGGGGGCAAGCGUUAUCCGGAUUUACUGGGUGUAAAGGGAGCGUAGACGGCGAUGCAAGCCAGAUGUGAAAGCCCGGGGCUCAACCCCGGGACUGCAUUUGGAACUGUGUGGCUGGAGUGUCGGAGAGGCAGGCGGAAUUCCUAGUGUAGCGGUGAAAUGCGUAGAUAUUAGGAGGAACACCAGUGGCGAAGGCGGCCUGCUGGACGAUGACUGACGUUGAGGCUCGAAAGCGUGGGGAGCAAACAGGAUUAGAUACCCGAGUAA